rnacentral:rRNA from 1 species
GACUAAGCGUACACGGUGGAUGCCCUGGCAGUCAGAGGCGAUGAAGGACGUGCUAAUCUGCGAAAAGCGUCGGUAAGGUGAUAUGAACCGUUACAGCCGGCGAUGUCCGAAUGGGGAAACCCAGUGCAAUUCGUUGCACUAUCGUUAACUGAAUACAUAGGUUAACGAGGCGAACCGGGGGAACUGAAACAUCUAAGUACCCCGAGGAAAAGAAACCGGCCGA